GAGGACCGGGAUGGACAUACCUCUGGUGUACCAGUUGUCGUACCAACGGCAUAGCUGGGUAGCUAUGUAUGGACGGGAUAAGUGCUGAAAGCAUCUAAGCAUGAAGCCCCCCUCGAGAUGAGAUUUCCCAACUUCGGUUAUAAGAUCCCUCAAAGAUGAUGAGGUGAAUAGGUUCGAGGUGGAAGCGUAGCGAUACGUGGAGCUGACGAAUACUAAUCGAUCGAAGACUUAAUCAACAU
rnacentral:rRNA from 1 species